AUGCCUCCCCUUACCUCAGGAAAGUGGACCUCAAGAUGUAUUCUAGCCACUAAAACCUCCACUGGCCUUUGCAGCUGGAUGCUCGGCGGAGCACACGCUGCCCUGUCCAGUGAGGAUAUUCCUGCGCUCGCACCGAGAGGAAACAAAACUUUACUAUUAAUUGUUGAACGAGACCAUGAGCAAUGCAGCCUCGACCAUUACAUGUUUGCCUGCGAUUUUCAAACUGAUGAAUUUGGAGCAGAGACACUGAUGAUGUACACAUACCAAUCACCAGCUUUCCGUUGCUUUUCUCAAUUUGAUCCAUGCACGUAG
rnacentral:rRNA from 1 species